rnacentral:lncRNA from 1 species
GCCAGAUAAGGGAAGCAGGCCUCCGAAGCCAGCAGUGGCAACCCACUUGGGUCCCUUUCAAUGCUGUGGAAGCGUUGUUCUUUCACUCUUCUCAAUAAAUCUUGCUGCUGCUCACUCUUUGGGUCUGCCCCGCUGUUAUGAGCUGUAACACUCACAGCCAGUGUCUGCAGUUUCACUCCUGAAGCCAGCAAGACCACAAACCCACAGGGCGGGACAAACAACUCCGGACAGGAGGAAUGAACAACUCUGGACGCGCCACUUCUAUGAACUUUUAUGAACUGUAACACUCACCGCAAAGGUCUGCAGCUUCACCCCUGAGGCCAGGGAGACCACGAACCCACCGGAAGGAAUGAACAACUCCAGACGCACUGCCUUUAAGAGCUGUAACACUUACCACGGAUGUCUGCAGCUUCACUCCUGAAGUCAGCGAGACCACAAACCCAACAGAAGGAAGAAACUCCCGACACAUCUGAACAUCUGAAGGAACAAACUCUGGACACACCAUCUUUAAGAACUGUAACACUCACCGUGAGGGUCAACCGCUUCAUUCUUGAAGUCAGCCAGACCAAGAACCCACCAAUUCCGAGUCUCACUUUGUUGCCUAAGCUAGAGUGCAGCGUCGUGAUCAAGGCUCACUGCAGCCUCAACAUCCUGAUCCCCAGUGUUCCUCCCACCUCAACCUCCCAAGUAGCUGGGACCACAGUCUAUCUGAAUCAUGUUAUUGGACCAUGAGAGCAAGCAGCUGGAUCUCAUUCUGUCCAGUGACAGGGUCUCACUCUGUCACCGAUGCUGGAGUACAGUUGCAAAAGAUCAUCGCUCACUGUAGCCUUGACCUCCUGGGCACAAGCCAUGCUCUACCGGAGCCACUGCCCCUAGUUAUGGUUCCUGUGUCACACUGAUGCAAGAGAUGGGAUACCAUGGCUUUGGGAAGCUCCACUCCUAUGGCUUGGCAGCGUACAGCCUCCCUUCUGGCUGCUUUCACAGGUUGGUGUUGAGUGCAGCUUUUCCAGGAUUUUGUGAGUAACCAGCUUUAAUUUGGAAAACCUAGACUUCUACAUACAGAUUGUUAUGUUUGGAACAGUGGCUCAUGCCUGUAAUCCCAGAACUUUGGGAGGCCCAGACGAGCGGAUCACCUAGGUCAGGAGUUGAGGCCAGCCUGGUCAACAUGGCAAAACCUCAUCUCUACUAAAAGUACAAAAAUUAUCCGGGCGUGGUUGUGGGCACCUGUAUUCUCAGGUACUUGGGAGACUGAGGCAGCAGAAUCGCUUGAACCCAGGAAGCAGAGGUUGCAGUGAGCCGAGAUCAGGCUGCUGCACUCUAGCCUGUGUGAUAGAGUGAGUGAGACUGUGUCUCAAAAAACAAAAAACAAAACAAAAAAACUUUCAAUUUAUUUUCCAGAGGUCUAUUUUUAAUUUAGUAACAAGAUUUUAAAAAAUAUAUAUAAAAUUAAAUAACAGUAGAAAGUUAGAACUAGGCCCUAUAAAAUAUAAAAUUGUCAAAAUUGGUUAGCAUGAUUGUAGCUUCAAGGAUCAUAUUGUUAAUGUGACAACUUCUGAAACCAAACAUCAUCAUGCUUGGCAUCAAGAGCUAAAGUAGUCAUGAGUUAAUGGAGAAGAACAACUAAGGAAUUGGCUGGUGAAGUAAAGUUUAUGCUAAAUUUAAUUGAAAUGAAAUAACAAAGCAGUUUGAAACGAACAUUCCAUUGAUUAUUUUUAAAAUUUUAUUUAUUAACAAAAUAGCUUAUACUAACUGCCCACUCUCUAUCCCAAUAGUCACAGCAAUAACAUAUAGUUAACAUUUGUAAUUAAAUAUUUCAUUUCAUACAAAUAGUAUUUUAAAAUUCAAGUGUUGAUUUUUAAGCCUUUGAAUGUUUGGCUGUUUAAAAUUUAAGUGCAUAUAAAAAAUUGUAGAAAAGGGUCAUUAUUAAUAAAAUAUUCAAAAUAUGGUAAAUUAUGCAUGAUGAUUUAAUAUAUGCAAAUUGACAAGUGAUGUGAAUAGUACAUUUGAAUAGAGAAAAUAUGUACAUAAAUGAAUGGUAUUUCAGAAUCUAAGCAAAUUGAUGACUCCAUUAUGUACUUGUCCCCAAUGUAAAUGAAAUAUUAAUUAGAAAACUUUUUUUUCACUAAAGGGCUGAACAUAAAGUGUGAUGGCAAAUUGGUGUGUUCUUGUAUUUCUUGUCUUUAAGAAUUCUUUUCAAUAUAUUUUCACUUAAUGUUUUAGCAACACUUUUCAUCAUCCUUUUACACUUAUAGCUGGACUAUGCUUAGUGAUAGAAAAUAGUUAUAUAAUGGGAUUAUACUUGGCCAUAUGAAUUUGACGGUAUGAGUUAAUCUAUGUUUCAUCUUACUUGUGUCUACUUGUAAGUCAUUGAUGCUAAUGUUAUUAGUAAUUUUUAUUGGGUAGAAAUAUUUUCUAUAUGACAUUUUUGAGAAAAAGAAGUCAAUAAAUCCCAUUUGAUAUGCAACAGAAAUAAAGAUCUCUUAUUUCAAUUUUAAAAUGCUUUAUAACUUACAUUGCUUUGUUUUAUGCAGUAUUUGUUUUGAUCAGAUGCAAAAUGAGCCAGUAAUGGCAUCUAACCACAAGUUUGAUAUAUUUUUUUAAAGAAAAAUUUCCAAAAUACUAUAACUGAGCAAUAGGCUAAUACUUCAUAAAUUAAAAUAUUUAAAUAUUCAAUCUUUCUGAGUGGAUAUUUGUUGCAUAUCUGAUAACUUGGCCUAAUUCUGUAAUUGGGAUGAGAACUACCCAAUUUUAUUGGUAACCUCUUUUCUGCUCUGCAACUUUGGAAAUAAUAUGGAGGACUUCAAAUUCAUUUGAGACAAAAAUAUUAAAAAUGUAACCCCUGAUUAGGAUUUCAGUUCCAAAGCUCUCCUUGGAGGGAUAUAGAGCUGGAGACAAUCAAUCACAUUUAUUUUUCAUCUCCUUAAUAUUGAUAUAUAAAAGUCAGGUUAAAAUUAGUAUCAAAAUGGGAAGCCUGCAUUGUAAACUGGCUGGAAUAAUACACUCUGCAAUAUGAAGGAAAAAGGAAAAAUUUAGUUGAUUCAUUUACUUAACUAUAAUUUUUUAAAGAAUUUUAAGUUUCUAAUAAAUUUAACUAUAAAUUUUUAAUUUUCUAUCUUUCAUUUAGUACCAUCUAUAUAAACUUUUCCAGGCUACUUCUCUGAAUCACCUGGCAAAAUCUUAUAAUUUACCACCUAACUGAAUAAAACACACACACACAAAAUAAUCUAUUUUUAAUAAUAAACAUCAUUUAUAAUUACGUUGUUGAGAUUGAGAGUAAUCAUCAGGUGUGGAAAAACUGAGGAAAUUUUAACAAUUUAAAAUGUAAUAAUCUUUUUUGUAUUAUGUGUGUUUUAUACUCAGAAGUGCAUAUGUUUUAUAAAAUUAUGUGAAUUUAUAAGUGUGGUCAAUAUUAAUAUUAAAUUGUAUCUUUUAAUAGUA